rnacentral:rRNA from 1 species
CGUGAGAUGUUGGUUAAGUCCCACAACGAGCGCAACCCUUCGACCCUUAGUUGCCAGCAUUCAGUUGGGCACUCUAAGGUGACUGCCGGGCUAAAAGUCGGAGGAAGGUGGGGAUGACGUCAAAUCAUCAUGCCCCUUAUGACCUGGGCUACACACGUGCUACAAUGGGCGGUACAAAGGGUCGCGAACCGCAGGGGGAGCCAAUCCCAAAAAGCCGCUCUCAUUCGGAUUGCAGGCUGCAACUCGCCUGCAUGAAGCCGGAAUCGCUAGUAAUCGCGGAUCAGAAUGCCGCGGUGAAUACGUUCCCGGGCCUU